rfam:Desulfuribacillus alkaliarsenatis strain AHT28 DSM-24608_Contig_9_85X, whole genome shotgun sequence.
GGACGAUUAGCUCAGCUGGGAGAGCACCUGCCUUACAAGCAGGGGGUCGGCGGUUCGAUCCCGUCAUCGUCCA